GUCAGGGGGUUACAGAUGGUAAGUCCUCUGGGGAUGAUGUUUUGUUUCUUGCAUCAGGAAGUAGAUGUUUCUGUUUAGUCUGGCUUCCUUCUUCAUGCUGUGAAGUUUCCAUUUUAAACAGCAAAAUUCAAUAUCUUUCAUGUUGUUUGCAGUGUUGGUCCCAGGAUAUGACACACACAAGACAAGUGAGGUAAUAUAUCUUAUUACUACUACAAAGGCAGCCAUUGGAAGAGAUGGAAAUCAAUGAAAUUAACAACGUGUAUGUAAAUACAACGUAAGUAUUGCACCAAUAGAAGCUAGGACCUCACCUACCUCGUUUUUGAUAACCUGGGAACAACAAGGCUACAACACUGCAAACUGCUUUCCAUUCAUGACUCAGCAAAGUGAUGCAAUUGGAAAGAAAUCUCUUUCCUCAUUCCUCCUUCGCCUAGGCAGGUUUCAACUCUCUUUAGAGUGCUGGAUCAGAGAAGGGAGAGACGGAGUAGGAAGACAGUGCUUCUGCAGCGAAAACAGCCUGAGUUUCAGAAAUGUUGCAUUAGUACAUGCAAAGUUAAAACACUCCUAUAUUUAUAUUCACGUGGUCAUGUGAGCAAAUACAGAAUGGUUAGAGUGAUACGCUUCAGAAAGUUAGGCAGUCUUGAAGUUUUCUGCCUAUCUCCACAUUCCUCCUCCAACAGUACAGCACUCUGAAAACUUGCGAAAGGGAACAAACUACAGGUCAUGAUCACCUGGUCACUGAAAACUCCAUGCUGAAGAGGUGAUGCUACCGCAACAAGCAGCAGCAGGAUAGACCGGUGGAAAGAACAUUUCUGCACACUCCUGAAUGCAAAGAAAAUACUACGAAGGCAGCCGCUGGGAGAGAAGGUGAUCAAUGAAAUUAAAGACCUUGUAUGCAAAUACAACACAGUAAGGAUACGGCUCCAGAGAAAAUCCUUGCUUGCAGAUCACUGACCUGCACUGACCCUGGAGGAAAAAAGUGCUCUUCCCACACUACUCCUGGAUGACAGCCAGGAGUGCACUGGCAGCAACUACAGAAGCUGAGCGGGACUUGACAUGAGACGUGAUAAAUUGAUCCCCAAAUGCGCUCCCCGUCAACUCCGGAACUCCAGCUCACGAGAGGUGGAAACAGAGUCGAUGGGAGAGCGGCAGCAGUUGACUCGCCACCAUCCUCAUGGCCAGGGCACUAAUUUACACAUUAGUAUCAAUUUAGGCAAUAAUAUGUGGAAAGAGCUCAUGUGGAUCAAUAGCAACCGCCCCAUCUAUAAGAUCUAUUACUUGCAUAAAUGUUUAGAAACUGGAGCAGUUUAAGAGACUGUUCUCCCAGAAUCCUUUGCCAUUACAUCUUAAGAGGUCUAUAGCUCCAUUUCCUUCCCAUUAAAGAUGAUGUUACUUGCUAGAGAGAAUAUGAAAUUCUGUAAGACAGCAUCAGCCACUUAAGACACACAAGAAUUAAAAAACGCAGGUUUGGAAUUGUACUAGAAUAUGUUUAUUUUAAAAAUUACAUGGUAUAUAAUGUAAACCUUCAAGUCAGCGGCACUGCGAUGGGUACCCGCAUGGCCCCACAGUAUGCCAACAUUUUAACAAGUCUUCCUCAGCUCUCAUCGCCUAAUGCCCCUACUCUGCUUGCGCUACAUUGAUGACAUCAUCAUCUGGACCCAUGGAGAAGAAGCCUGUGAGGAAUUCCACCAGGAUUUCAACAAUUUCUAUCCCACCAUCAACCUCAGCCUGGACCAGUCCACAUAAGAGAUCCACUUCCUGGACACUACAGUGCUAAUAAGCGACGGUCACAAACACCACCCUAUACUGGAAACCUACUGAGCGCUAUACUUACCUACAUGCCUUCAGCUUUCAUCCAGACCACAUCACACGAUCCACUGUCUACAGCCAAGCUCUAAGAUACAACCUCAUUUGUUCCAAUCCCUCAGACAGAGACAAACAACUACAAGAUCUCUAUCAAGCAUUCUUAAAACUACAGUGCCCACCUGCUGAAGUGAAGGAACAGAUUGACAGAGCCAGAAGAGUACCCAGAAGUCACCUACUACAGGAACGGCCCAACAAAGAAAAUAACAGAACGCCACUAGCCGUCACUUUCAGCCCCCAACUAAAAUUUCUCCAGCACAUCAAGGAUCUACAACCUAUCAUGAAGGACGAUCCCUCACUCUCACAGAUCUUGAGAGACAUGCCAGUCCUUGCUUACAGACAGCCCCCAAUCUGAAGCAAAUACUCACCACCAACCACACACCACACAACAAAAACACUAACCCAGGAACCUAUCCUUGCAACAAAACCCGUUGCCAACUCUGUCCACACAUCUAUUCAAUGGACACCAUCAUAGGACCUAAUCACAUCAGCCACACCAUCAGGGGCUC